rnacentral:rRNA from 1 species
GGCUCAGAACGAACGCUGGCGGCGUGCCUAACACAUGCAAGUCGAACGUGAUUACGGAGCUUGCUCUCUAUGAAAGUGGCGCACGGGUGAGUAACGCGUAGAUAAUCUACCUGAUGAUCUGGGAUAACACUUCGAAAGGGGUGCUAAUACCGGAUAAGCCCACGGAGUCCUUGGACACUGCGGGAAAAGGGGGGGAUCGCAAGACCUUCCGUCAUCAGAUGAGUCUGCGUACCAUUAGCUAGUUGGUAGGGUAAAGGCCUACCAAGGCGACGAUGGUUAGCUGGUCUGAGAGGAUGAUCAGCCACACUGGAACUGAGACACGGUCCAGACUCCUACGGGAGGCAGCAGUGGGGAAUUUUGCGCAAUGGGGGAAACCCUGACGCAGCAACGCCGCGUGAGUGAUGAAGGCCCUUGGGUCGUAAAGCUCUGACAGAGGGAAAGAAAUGUGGGUGGCUAAUAUCCAUUCCACUUGACGGUACCCUCAAAGGAAGCACCGGCUAACUCCGUGCCAGCAGCCGCGGUAAUACGGGGGGUGCAAGCGUUGUUCGGAUUUAUUGGGCGUAAAGCGCGUGUAGGCGGUUUUUUAAGUCUGAUGUGAAAGCCCCGGGCUCAACCUGGGAAGUGCAUUGGAUACUGGAAGACUUGAAUACGGGAGAGGGAAGUGGAAUUCCUGGUGUAGGAGUGAAAUCCGUAGAUAUCAGGAGGAACACCGGUGGCGAAGGCGGCUUCCUGGACCGAUAUUGACGAUGAGACGCGAAAGCGUGGGUAGCAAACAGGAUUAGAUACCCUGGUAGUCCACGCCGUAAACGAUGAGUACUAGGUGUUGCGGGUAUUGACCCCUGCAGUGCCGCAGCUAACGCAUUAAGUACUCCGCCUGGGAAGUA